AUUGUUGAAUAAUCUCUCAACCAUGUGAAAAGGUGCAGCCACAAUUUUGUGUUCAAAUUGGUAGGUCACCAACCCCAUCAACCAUGUGAAAAGGUGCUAGCCGACUUAUGUGUUCAAAUUGGUAAGUCACCAACCUCAUCAACCAUGUGAAAAGGUGCUGGCCGACUUAUGUGUUCAAAUUGGUAGGUCACCAACCCCACCAACCAUGUUUCUUUCUUUGCCUAUAUAAAGGCCAUUGGGGAGAGCAAGCUAAAUGGAACACACACCAACACAAAAACAAUUCUUUUGUGUGUUAUAUCCGAGAGAGAAUUUUGAGAGUUACUCACAAAUUGGUGAGUGGUAGUUAGUGUCCAAAAAUUAGAGUGUAUAUUAUAUAAGAGUGUUUGUGAGGUUUCUUUGGGUACAAUAUUAGUCCCAAAGGGUGUUCUUGUAUCGUCUCUAUUUUUGGUGUUUCUCAAGUUGGUCACUUGAGAUUUUGGUGUACCGUUAUUUUUAUAGUGGAUAUUUCUCGGAGUUUGGCCCGUGAUUUUUCCCUCUAAAUUUGGGAGGGUUUUCCACGUAAAUUUUGGUGUUCCGAUUGCUUGUAUUAUUUUUCAUAUUGUUUAACGAUCGAGUAAAGUGAGAAUUAAUAUUUUAUUCCCAACAUUAUCUUGUUUCAAUAAGAAAAUUAUAGUUAUGUUAAAGUUGCAGGAAAUUUAAUUUUCUUUUUUCACUUUAUGAGACAUGUCACACCUGAGUAGCAUGUGCCAUUGGCCUUCUAUGACGAAAUGGUCUUAAUGGAGAUUUUAGGCAUGAAUUUAGUAAAUUAAAGAGUCUAAAGAAAGUUGUCAAAGAAUAAGUGUGUAAAAAGAGUUUCUAUACAAGUUGGAAGGUAAAGUAUGCAUUAAGUCGGAAAAAUUAUAUAGAAGCAACUACUAUCUCCAAUACCUCUUUGUCACAUGUAUAAUACUUCUGUUUAUAGACAAAUUUAUAGAUUUGAAGUAAGUGGAUGCAUAUCAAGAUUAAUUAAUA
rnacentral:lncRNA from 1 species